rnacentral:rRNA from 1 species
CCUACGGGGGCUGCAGUGGGGAAUAUUGGACAAUGGGCGAAAGCCUGAUCCAGCCAUGCCGCGUGUGUGAAGAAGGCCUUCGGGUUGUAAAGCACUUUCAGUGGGGAAGAAAGCCUUGGGGCUAAUACCCUCGAGGAAGGACAUCACCCACAGAAGAAGCACCGGCUAACUCCGUGCCAGCAGCCGCGGUAAUACGGAGGGUGCGAGCGUUAAUCGGAAUUACUGGGCGUAAAGCGCGCGUAGGCGGUCUGAUAAGCCGGUUGUGAAAGCCCCGGGCUCAACCUGGGAACGGCAUCCGGAACUGUCAGGCUAGAGUGCAGGAGAGGAAGGUAGAAUUCCCGGUGUAGCGGUGAAAUGCGUAGAGAUCGGGAGGAAUACCAGUGGCCAAGGCGGCCUUCUGGACUGACACUGACGCUGAGGUGCGAAAGCGUGGGUAGCAAACAGGAUUAGAUACCCGAGUAGUC